rnacentral:rRNA from 1 species
AACGAACGCUGGCGGCAGGCCUAACACAUGCAAGUCGAACGAGAUCUUCGGAUCUAGUGGCGGACGGGUGAGUAACGCGUGGGAACGUGCCCUUCUCUACGGAAUAGUCCUGGGAAACUGGGUUUAAUACCGUAUACGCCCUUCGGGGGAAAGAAUUUCGGGGAAGGAUCGGCCCGCGUUGGAUUAGGUAGUUGGUGGGGUAAUGGCCUACCAAGCCGACGAUCCAUAGCUGGUUUGAGAGGAUGAUCAGCCACACUGGGACUGAGACACGGCCCAGACUCCUACGGGAGGCAGCAGUGGGGAAUUUUCCGCAAUGGGGGCAACCCUGACGGAGCAACGCCGCGUGAGGGAAGAAUGGUUGUGGCCAGUAAACCUCUUUUUAAUAGGGAAGAAUUCUGACGGUACCUAUUGAAUAAGCAUCGGCUAACUCCGUGCCAGCAGCCGCGGUAA